rnacentral:rRNA from 1 species
AUUGAACGCUGGCGGCAUGCUUUACACAUGCAAGUCGAACGGCAGCGCGGGCUUCGGCCUGGCGGCGAGUGGCGAACGGGUGAGUAAUGCAUCGGAACGUGCCCAGUAGUGGGGGAUAGCCCGGCGAAAGCCGGAUUAAUACCGCAUACGACCUGAGGGUGAAAGCGGGGGACCGAAAGGCCUCGCGCUAUUGGAGCGGCCGAUGUCGGAUUAGCUAGUUGGUGGGGUAAAGGCUUACCAAGGCGACGAUCCGUAGCUGGUCUGAGAGGAGGACCAGCAACACUGGAACUGGGACACGGCCCAGACUCCUACGGGAGGCAGCAGUGGGGAAUUUUGGACAAUGGGGGCAACCCUGAUCCAGCCAGGCCGCGUGCGGGAAGAAGGCCUUCGGGUUGUAAACCGCUUUUGUUCGGGAAGAAAUCCUCUGGGCUAAUACCCCGGGGGGAUGACGGUACCGGAAGAAUAAGCACCGGCUAACUACGU